rnacentral:rRNA from 1 species
GAUGAACGCUGGCGGCGUGCCUAAUACAUGCAAGUCGAGCGAACGGACGAGAAGCUUGCUUCUCUGAUGUUAGCGGCGGACGGGUGAGUAACACGUGGAUAACCUACCUAUAAGACUGGGAUAACUUCGGGAAACCGGAGCUAAUACCGGAUGAUAUUUUGAACCGCAUGGUUCAAUAGUGAAAGACGGUCUUGCUGUCACUUAUAGAUGGAUCCGCGCUGCAUUAGCUAGUUGGUAAGGUAACGGCUUACCAAGGCAACGAUGCAUAGCCGACCUGAGAGGGUGAUCGGCCACACUGGAACUGAGACACGGUCCAGACUCCUACGGGAGGCAGCAGUAGGGAAUCUUCCGCAAUGGGCGAAAGCCUGACGGAGCAACGCCGCGUGAGUGAUGAAGGUCUUCGGAUCGUAAAACUCUGUUAUUAGGGAAGAACAAAUGUGUAAGUAACUAUGCACAUCUUGACGGUACCUAAUCAGAAAGCCACGGCUAACUACGUG